rnacentral:rRNA from 1 species
GUGAGUAGUUCAGAGUUUGAUCCUGGCUCAGGAUGAACGCUGGCGGCGUGCAUAACACAUUCAAGUCGAACGGGACAAGGGACUUCGGUCCUGCGUUUAGUGGCGGACGGGUGAGUGACGCGUGAGCAACCUGCCCCUUUUGUGCGGGAUAACGUUUGGAAACGAACGCUAAUACCGCAUAAUGCAUGGGAAUCGCAUGUUUCCUAUGCCAAAGAUUUAUUGCAGAGGGAUGGGCUCGCGUCCGAUUAGAUAGUUGGUGAGGUAACGGCCCACCAAGUCGGCGAUCGGUAGCCGGACUGAGAGGUUGAACGGCCACAUUGGAACUGAGAAACGGUCCAG